rnacentral:rRNA from 1 species
GUCUACGGCCACACCAUCCUCAAUGCAUCAAAUCUCAUCUGAUCUUGGAAACUAAGCAGGGUCUGGGCCUGGUUAGUACUUGGAUGGGAGAAUGGGUAAACUGCCUUGCCUGGACU